rnacentral:misc_RNA from 1 species
AAGUCGUAACAAGGUUUCCGUAGGUGAACCUGCGGAAGGAUCAUUAAUGAAUAACUUUGGCGUGGUUGUAGCUGGCUCCUUGGAGCAUGUGCACACCCGUCAUCUUUAUCUUUCCACCUGUGCACUACAUGUAGAUCUGGAUAACUCUCGCCCUCGGGCGGAAACAGGGACUGCUGCGUCGAAAGGCCGGCUCUCCUUGAAUUUCCAGGUCUAUGUCUUUACAAACCCCAAUUGAAUGACGAAGAAUGAAGUCAAUGGGCUCUAAGCCUAUAAAACUUAUACAACUUUCAGCAACGGAUCUCUUGGCUCUC